UUCCCAUUAUCUCCGUCACGCUGGUCGAUCUGUUGCGUGUCGGCCCGGCCUGACUUGGCGCCAGGCACAUUUUCGACCAGGGUGGCUCACACAGUUACUAAAGCCGUCGGCAUUAGACACUACCAUUGCCGACGUGUUCCGUACCACAGAUGACACGCAUCCGCGUAAGGAUCGUUCAAAUAUUCAACAGACUGUCGUUCUUGAUCGGGAUGCUAGCAUAGUGCCGUGUAGAUGUGUGAUGUGCAUUGAAGUGGCCAUUAUUGUGGCGUUUACAAUGUGAAAGUGUUCUUGGGCGAUUGGCCUUACGAUUCGCAUUUGCAACAAACAAAUGCUGCUUCUGACGUCUGACUAAAUGCCAGUGAUGAUGUUGAUGAUGAGCUGUUUGCAGUUGGAAGUGAAAGUGUCCGUUGGCUUGUAGAUCUUGGCGGAGGGCAGUUGCUUUGCUGUAGGAGCAAUUAUUUCACUACGAACUCAUCAUUAUCCGAAUCAUCAUUUGCUUAAGAAGCAGCCGUCGCAAGAUCGGUGGCAAUUCUUACUUCUUUUCCACGCACCAAUUAAAGCAGCCAAGCAACAGGAGCGUAACGCUGGGAGCGAAUCCCCUGGGAAGCAUCGGCAUUUGACAGCAUUUCUUGCUGCAAUUUGGGUUUGAUAACGAAAUUGAUCUUGUUUUUUUUUAAUAAACAUAAUUACAUAUUACAUACCAACUGACAAAAGUGUGACAAAAUGUGACAACAAUCGUGAAUUUUAAUGCCUAAUUACACACGAAAGGAUUUGCACCAGUUCAUUCGAUAUUGCAAUUAACUUGGUGAAUCUUUUCCGUUUUAUGUCGAUCAAAUUGCAUGGUGAAUUAAAAUCUCUUCUCGGUUUUUGAUUCUUUUCUAUCAGCGAGGAUUACCAUCACCAUCAGCGAUGCACGUACUGUCCAACAGAGACCGUACCGAUCGCCUGUCCACCGGACUGUUUCUGCAAACAUCCUCCCGAUGACGGUCGGGAUCAUAUCUAAAUACUGCAAGCAACCUAUUGCAAACCUAUUGCAACGUGCAAUUCACACGCAAACUUCACUCACAGAAAUAAAAGCAAUUUUAAUAUAGUCCAGGGGGUAAUGUAUCGACAUUACACAGCUACGAUAUGGCAGGAGGUUUGUAAGACAGUAAAUGGCUACCCUUUUCGAGCACACAAAGGAUCGCUUGUUGCGAUGUUUUGCUUUUAAGUUUUUGCUAUCUUUUUGGUGCAUAGUUGAUCAGUUUAGGUCACAAUACUCGUCGGUGUAAACUACUUUGUCGUACAGCUUUAUUCUAGCAUCCAGGAGCAGAAUUAGGUAUUAGCAAACCGGUAGUUCUUCCCUUUAAAUGGUAAUCUUACAGCAGUCUUGCAUAUGAAUAGAGCCCAGUAAGCUUUCGUUUUUGCAAUCAAGCUCGUCAAUCCAGUGUAACUGAUUACUCAGCUCUAAAUCGAGUUCUAAUAGUUCGGUGCAGUAAAGUGUAUCAGCAAAUAUUAUCGUCAAGUAACAACAGUGAAAUAACAGCGAAAUAAACAUAAAAACAAUCUCAUCCACAUUUCAA